AUGGCUAAAGUAAAACGAAAAGUGCUCCAAUUUCAUUUUACUGGAAAAGAAAUAAAAGUAUAUGAGCCGAUGAAUUUUAAUACAUUAUAUUUGGCAAUCAAUGACGGAGGUCAUAUAUAUAUCUACAUCAGUGUACGAAAUUUAUUUUUUUGUCAUUUUACACAGUGGAUAAUUGACUUGUUGCAACAAUUAAUGAGUUUUGAGCAUUUUGAACGGAUCCUGGACUUCUGGGAAGAAAAAAAUGAGAAUACCAUCAUACCUAGGAUAGUCACUUAUCGUGUUUGGUUUUGAAGUAAACGAUUGCAGAGAUUGGGGAAAGGGACAAUUUUGAAUCAGUUUUCUUUCCUUGUGAUGUCAACUUAUUUGAUUUUCUAUAUGGAAUUUGUGGUUAUAUUUUGGUUAAGUGAUUAAUAUUUAUUCAUCUUCAUUAGAGAACAUGGGUGGUCAUAGAGGUAAGAAUAUGGAAACAAUGUCAUGAUCCGAUCAAAACGAACACGUUUUUAUUGGAAUACUUUACGAUAAUGUGAAACCAGGGAAGUUGCAAUGUUCUACGUUCACAAAAGACUAUUGGGACAAGAUCAAUCAAGAGAUGAUUGUUGCCACAAAAUCAGAUUACGGGAUAGAAAGAUUGAAGGGUAAGUGGAAUCGUUUGCAUAAGGUAUAUCGCUUGUUCUUUGACCUUUUAGGGCAUCCGGGUGUUACAUGGGAUCCAAAUACCAACGAAGUGGAUGCUACAGAAGAAGUUUGGCAACAUUUUUUUAUGAUAAACAAAAGCGACUAUAAGACAUUUUGGACGGGACGAAUGUAAGCAUUACGAAUUGCUUGGAGAGAUUUUUAGCAGGACUACAGCCACUGGAGGUCUAGGCCAUGCUUCUACUCAGCUUCCUCCAACUUCAGAGGAAGAAAGACGGCUAGAAGAUGAGUUUUUGAGCAAGGGAGUGCACGUACGUGUGGAGAAUGAUGACGAUGAAGUUUCUAAUCACGAGGGCACUAGUGAAAUUACUAGUCCAAAUCCUUAUUCAAAUAUGGCAUGUUUGAACAUCUUAAACAACAUGGAAGGAAUGUCUUAACGAGAUUUAUAUGAAAGCAAUAAAGGCUUUUAAGGAUCCAGAUUUCAGGAUGACAUUUAUAAUAAUACCAAAAAUUAGGAAAGGAACUAUCUUGGAACUUCUUUGAUUUGCCUAAUUGGUCGGAUUGAGUAUUUUGAACUUAUAAUGUAGGAUUGUGUUCUUUUUAUAUAUUGACUAUGAACUUUGUAAUUCUCAACAUUUACUACUAGUUUUAUUUUUAUCAA